GAUGAACGCUGGCGGCGUGCCUAAUACAUGCAAGUCGAGCGAACGGACGAGAAGCUUGCUUCUCUGAUGUUAGCGGCGGACGGGUGAGUAACACGUGGAUAACCUACUUAUAAUACUGGGAUAACUUCGGGAAACCGGAUCUAAUACCGGAUAAUAUUUUGAACCGCAUGGUUCAAAAGUGAAAGACGGUCUUGGUGUCACUUAUAGAUGGUUCCGCGCUGCAUUAGCUAGUUGGUAAGGUAACGGCUUACCAAGGCAACGAUGCAUAGCCGACCUGAUGGGGGGAUCGGCAACACGGAAACUGAGACCCGGCCCAGACUCCUAGGGGAGGCAGCAGGGGGGAAUCUGGCGAAAGGGGCGAAAGCUUGACGAAGCAACGCGGGGGGAGUGAUGAAGGUCUUCGGUUCGUAAAACGCUGUUAUGGGGGAAAAACAUAUGUGUAUGUAACUGUGCACAUCUGGAGGGUACCUAAGAAGAAGGCCAGGGCUAAUUCCUG
rnacentral:rRNA from 1 species